rfam:Schistosoma mansoni strain Puerto Rico chromosome 2, complete genome
AUCCAGUUGACAAGUCCCAAAUAGGAUGGAACAAGCGUCCUGGAU